rnacentral:lncRNA from 1 species
AUCGCACCUUACUAAUAUAGAACAUGCACCUCACGUAGACGAAACCUACAUUAUUCGAUACUAGUCUUGAUGAGUGCUAAAACUUGGAAAGCACAAACUUACUAUCUAAUUUGAGGAAAUUUACAAUUAUUUUGAUCUACCGGCUUAUUUAUCAUAUAAAUCAUCUCUCACAUGCAUCAACAUACAUACAAAAUGAAACAGUUAUGACCCCUAACACAAUUGUUCUCCCAAGCCAAUGAGAGAACCUAAGCUAAUCUAAU